rnacentral:rRNA from 1 species
CCUACGGGAGGCAGCAGUCGAGAAUCAUUCACAAUGGGGGAAACCCUGAUGGUGCGACGCCGCGUGGGGGAAUGAAGGUCUUCGGAUUGUAAACCCCUGUCAUGUGGGAGCAAAUUAAAAAGAUAGUACCACAAGAGGAAGAGACGGCUAACUCUGUGCCAGCAGCCGCGGUAAUACAGAGGUCUCAAGCGUUGUUCGGAAUCACUGGGCGUAAAGCGUGCGUAGGCUGUUUCGUAAGUCGUGUGUGAAAGGCGCGGGCUCAACCCGCGGACGGCACAUGAUACUGCGAGACUAGAGUAAUGGAGGGGGAAGAGGAAGUCUCGGGGUAGCAGUGAAAUGAGUAGAUAUCGAGAGGAACACUCGUGGCGAAGGCGGGUUCGUGGACAUUAACUGACGCGGAGGCACGAAGGCCAGGGGAGCGAAAGGGAUUAGAUACCCGAGUAGUC